UUAAAUGUUGUUCUGGUUCUCUUAUGACAUCUUUUAUACUCCAAAUCUUCUCCAUUUGUCUUUCCAGACUGAGAGAUGUCAAUGGCUUUAUUUCUCAGCUGUUUCUUUAGACUGUGUUAUUAUAUGUGGUGCUGUUUCAGAGCUUUUAGCCUACUUCACUUUAUCAGACAGUUUCUCUUCCUUUUGGUGAUUUCAUGAUUCAGCAAGUCUGGCAGUAAUCAGGCCUGGGUGUGUUUAGUGAAACUGAACUAAGCUCUCACUUUGUCGCACAGGACCAGUUAAACAAUGGCUGAUGAGCGUGCUGUUCCCAGCUCUGGGCACAGUCACGACUCUCCAGAGUUGAGGAUCGUGCUGAUCGGUGGCAGAGAAUUAACAGGAGAGCCCAGUAAUAAGAGUCUGAGC